CGACUUCAGAUCAGACGUGGUGAACCGCCGAAUUUAAGCAUAUUACUAAGCGGAGGAGAAGAAACUAACCAGGAUUCCCUCAGUAAAGGCGAGUGAAGAGGGAAGAGCCCAGUGCCAAAUCCCCGCCCGGGUGAUGGGCGCAGGGAAAUGUGACUUAUGGAAGUCCAUCUCCCCAGCGCCACCCUGGUGGCCCAAGUCCUUGUGAUCGAGGCUCAGCCCGCGGAUGGUGUGAGGCCAAUUGCGGCCCCCGGCGCAUCGGGAUCAGGUCUUCCUGGAGUUGGGUUGUUUGUGAAUGCAGCCCAAAGUGGGUGAUAAACUCCAUCUAAGGCUAAACACCGGCACGAGAUCAUUAGCAGACAAGUACUGUAAGGGAAGUUGAAAAGAACUUUGAAGAGAAAGUUCAAGAGGGCAUGAAAUUGUUCAGAGGUAAACGAGUGGGGUCUGCCUGGAGGAUUAAAUCCCAUGGCUGCACCAGCAGCCCAGGCAAGGCGGAUCCCCCUCCCCUUCCGGGGGGUGGUGGACCAUCCCUGGGAGCGCCGACAGCCAUCGGGUGCACUUCCUCCCCAGCUGUGCACGUGACUAGCUCCGGUUCAGUCAGGAAGGCCAUGCAGAAGAUGGCUCCCCUCCCUGGAGGGGAGUGUUACAGCCCAUGGCAUCAGCCCUCGCCAUGCCCUGGGGUUGUGGGAGAUGACCACCACAGCACCAUCCCCCACCCUUGCGGCAGGGGAUGGGGCCAGCUUCCGGUGGGACUGUCGACUGAGCCGGACUGCCCUCAGUGCAGUCCAACCGUGUCCUGCCACCAGGCCAUCAGACUCACCUCUGGUGCUCGGGGUCCUCGGUGAUGUCGGUGACCCACACUUCCCAUCUUGAAACACGGACCAAGGAGUCUAAAAGGUAAGCGGGUCUGAGGGUGGGCAGGAAACCCCAUGGCACAAUGAAAGUGAGGGCUCGUUCAUGCCGGCUGAGGCGGGAUCCCCUCGCCCCACGUGGGGGGUGCACCACUGGCCCAUCUCACCUGUCCCGUCGGGGAGGUGGAGCAUGAGCACACCUGGUGGGACCCGAAAGAUGGUGAACUAUGCCUGGGUAGUGCAAAGCCAGAAAAAACUCUGGUGGAGGUCCGUAGUGGUCCUGAUGUACAAAUCAAUCAUCCGACCUGGGUAUAGGGAUGAAAGACUAAUCAAAUCAUCUAGUAGCUAGUUCCCUCUGAAGUUUCCCCUCAGGAUAGCUGGUGCUCAGUGGAUGCAGUUUUAUCUGGUAAAGCAAAUGAUUAGAGGUCUUGGGGCUGAAACAAUUUCAACCUAUUCUCAAACUUUAAAUGGGUAAGAAGCCAGACUCGCUGGCUUGGAGCUGGGCAUGGAAUGCGAGCACCCAGUGGGUCACUUUUGGUAAGCAGAACUGGCACUGCAGGAUGAACCUAACGACAGAUUAAGGUGCCCGAUAAUGAUGCUCAUCAGACCCCAGAAGAGGUGUUGGUUGAUAUAGACAGCAGGACGGUGGCCAUGGAAGUUGGAGUCUGCUAAGGGGUGUGUAACAACUCACCUGCCGAAUCAACUAUCCCUGAAAAUGGAUGGCGCUGGAGUGUUGGGCCCAUAUCUAGCCAGUGUCAGUGCUGGGAGCUGAGGUGGCAAUGCGGCAAUGAGUAGGAGGGCUGCCGCAGUGGCACUGAAGCCCAGGGCUAGGGCCUGGAUGGAGCCAUCGCAAGUGCAGAUCUUGGUGGUAGUAACAAAUAUUCAAACAAGAGCUUUGAAGGCAGAAGUGGAGAAGGGUUCCAUGUGAACAGCAGUUGAACAUGGGUCAGUCAGUCCUGAGAGAUAGACAAGCAUUGUUCCGAAGGGAUGGGCGAUGGCCUCAGUCACCCUCGGCUGAUUGAAAUGGAGUCAGGUUCAGAUCCCCGAAUCUGGAGUGAUGGAGACAGGUGCCUUGUGGCACCUAGUACGGUGAUGCAAAUGAUCCCAGAGAAGCCAGCGGGGGCCCUGGGAGAGUUCUCUUUUCUUUGUAAAGGGCAGGGCUCCCUGGAAUGUAUUCACCCAGAGAGAGGGACCUGCGACCUGGAAAGCAUCAUGGUUCUGGCAGCAUCAGGUGAGCUCUCGCCAGCCUUUGAAAAUCCGGGGGAGAGGGUGUAAGUCUCGCGCUGGGCCGUACCCAUAUCUGCAGCAGGUCUCCAAGGUGAACAGCCUCUGGCAUGUUAGAACAAUGUAGGUAAGGGAAGUCGGCAAGCCAGAUCUGUAACUUCGGAAUAAGGGUUGGCUCUAAGGGCUGGGUCGGUCAGGCUCGGGCUUGAAGCGUGGCUGGGCAUGUGCCGCUGCUGGACGAGGUGUCACCCCCUUGCCACGCUCCCUCCUCCUGGGGGGUCCAGGGGGGUGGUGGUGGUGACUCUGGACACUCAUCAUCUGGCAGCUAGCAGCUGAUCUAGAACUGGUGUGGACCGGGGGAUUCCAACUGUUUCAUUAAAACAAAACAUCACAAAGGCCCGAGAUGGGUGUUGGCGCAAUGUGAUUUC